AUUGAACGCUGGCGGCAGGCCUAACACAUGCAAGUCGAGCGGAUGAAGGGAGCUUGCUCCUGGAUUCAGCGGCGGACGGGUGAGUAAUGCCUAGGAAUCUGCCUGGCAGUGGGGGAUAACGUCCGGAAACGGGCGCUAAUACCGCAUACGUCCUGAGGGUGAAAGUGGGGGAUCUUCGGACCUCACGCUAUCAGAUGAGCCUAGGUCGGAUUAGCUAGUUGGUAGGGUAAAGGCCUACCAAGGCGACGAUCCGUAACUGGUCUGAGAGGAUGAUCAGUCACACUGGAACUGAGACACGGUCCAGACUCCUACGGGAGGCAGCAGUGGGGAAUAUUGGACAAUGGGCGAAAGCCUGAUCCAGCCAUGCCGCGUGAGUGAAGAAGGUCUUCGGAUUGUAAAGCACUUUAAGUUGGGAGGAAGGGCAGUAAGUUAAUACCUUGCUGUUUUGACGUUACCAACAGAAUAAGCACCGGCUAACUUCGUG
rnacentral:rRNA from 1 species